rnacentral:lncRNA from 1 species
UCUCCUCGACCUCGAGAUGCUAGAAGUUUUACCCCUGGGCGAAGGAACACAGCUCCAUCUCCUGGGCCCUCUGUGAUUCGCCGAGGCCGCAGGCAGUCUGCUAAGCCUGGAUUCAAGCACGCUGGCAGCGAAGGGGAACUCUACCCUCCAGAAUCUCAGCCACCAGUUUCAGGCUCUGCACCCCCUGAGGACCUGGAGGAUGCUGGACCCCCAACACUGGACCCCUCUGGGACCUCAAUCACUGAAGAAAUCCUGGAACUGCUGAAUCAGCGAGGCCUUCGAGAUCCAGGGGAAUCUAUGGGCCUUCACAGGGCCCAGGGGGCUCCUGAUGCCCCCUUCCACAUGUGAGCCAGGACAUGAGGCUUCCCUGAAGCAAGGAUUUCAGCCAGAUGCCAUAGACCCUCAGAACUUGACCUGGAAGUCCAGACACUGAACGCAGGCCUCAAAACUGCUGCGGCCUUCCAACUCCUGGUAUCUGCAUCGGCGAAUGGCCCUUCUUGCCUUGAUCCACAGGGAUGGGGAAGGGA